rnacentral:rRNA from 1 species
UGGGGAAUAUUGGACAAUGGGCGCAAGCCUGAUCCAGCCAUGCCGCGUGGAUGAAGAAGGCCCUAGGGUUGUAAAAUCCUUUCGCCAGGGAAGAUAAUGACGGUACCUGGUAAGGAAGCCCCGGCUAAUUUCGUGCCAGCAGCCGCGGUAAUACGAAAGGGGCUAGCGUUGUUCGGAAUUACUGGGCGUAAAGCGCACGUAGGCGGCCAUGUAAGUUGGGGGUGAAAUCCCGGGGCUCAACCCCGGAACUGCCUCCAAAACUACAUGGCUUGAGGUAGCGAGAGGAUAGUGGAAUUCCGAGUGUAGAGGUGAAAUUCGUAGAUAUUCGGAAGAACACCAGUGGCGAAGGCGUCUGUCUGGCGCAUAUCUGACGUUGAGGUGCGAAAGCGUGGGGAGCAAACAGGAUUAGAUGCCCCUGUAGUCC